AAUUCAACAUUUGUCUAGAAGGCCAGCGGUGGGGGUUGACGCGAUAUGAUUUCUGUCCAGUGCUCUGAAUGUCAAAGUGACGAAAUUCAAUGAAGCGCAGGUAAAUGGCAGGAGUAACUAUGACUCUCUUAAGUUAGCCAAAUGCCUUGUCAUCUAAUUAGUGAUGCGCAUGAAUGGAUGAACGAGAUU
rnacentral:ncRNA from 1 species